AACGAACGCUGGCGGCAUGCCUAACACAUGCCAGUCGAACGAGACCUUCGGGUCUAGUGGCGCACGGGUGCGUAACGCGUGGGAACCUGCCCUUAGGUUCGGAAUAACUCCCCGAAAGGGGUGCUAAUACCGGAUAAUGUCUUCGGACCAAAGAUUUAUCGCCUUUGGUUGGGCCCGCGUUGGAUUAGCUAGUUGGUAGGGUAAAAGCCUACGAAGGCGACGAUCCAUAGCUGGUCUGAGAGGAUGAUCAGCCACACUGAGACUGAGACACGGCCCAGACUCCUACGGGAGGCAGCAGUGGGGAAUAGUGGACAAUGGGCGAAAGCCUGAUCCAGCAAUGCCGGGUGAGUGAUGAAGGCCUUAGGGUUGUAAAGCUCUUUUACCCGGGAUGAUAAUGACAGUACCGGGAGAAAAAGCCCCGGCUAACUCCGUG
rnacentral:rRNA from 1 species